ensembl:lncRNA
CGCCUAAUUUGCAUAGUUGACCAUGUGAAUGUAAUUGUGAUGGUCGCUGUAGGAGAGAGAAAUAACAUCGUGGGAGAGACAAAAAGGUUAGGACCAUAACCACGAGAGGACUUGAAAAUGAGCCGGAGCUGAGCGGAUCACCAAAACUAAAGACCAUACAACCAUGCCAACAACCAUCCAUGGAGAUCAGUGGACAAAGGGCUGGAUAAUGGGCCGCACCGAAAAAAAAACGCAUGGUUGCCAAGAAAGCGAUUCGUUUUGCUAGAUUCUUAAAAUGUGUACACAGCUGUUGUGUGUUGGAGUCACUUUUAAUUCUUAAUUGAUCUACCGUUUCUAUCAUAAGCCACUGUAAUCGAUGGGGGCUCAGGGCUGUACCAUUCUGCUCAUCUGAUGAAGGUGCACAUGGAUCAGAUUCAAACUUUGAAGACCGAGAUCAAGUCAUUGAAGGCAGACCAGCAGUAAGAGAAACAUUAUCUGAGGGCAGAGAUACGGGUGACAGCUGAUUCAUUGGUCCAGAGCCAGGCUGCAUUGGCAAAGAGUCAGGCAGAGAAUGAUGCGUUGAAGAGGGCGAGGAACGAGAUGGAGUCACAAUCCAUGCCAGACACACCUGUGAGCUCUGGAACUCCACCUCCGACAGGCAUAGUCAACAUACCUGACGGGUUCAUCAGGCUACAGUACUAAGUACCAUUACAGGCUAUUAGCAGGACCAUAUACCUUUACAAACACCUCUCUGUAUUUUGAAACUUUGUGGAUGGGGCCUCCCGAGUGGUGCAGUGCA